rnacentral:sRNA from 1 species
AAGCAAUUGAGGCGGAUGUGGCAGCUGAAAGAAUGGUGAUGAGCAAAGCUCACAAGAAGACUCUUUUUCCAUCAUGAACUAUGCAUUAUAUGUAACAAGAAAACUUCUAUUUGAUGAAAUGUUGACAUUUUCGUAAAAUAGGUUACUUUGGGUUUGCAGAUUUGUAUUAAAGUUGUUUAGUGUAGAUUAGCUGUGAAUAUCUUGACUCCUUUAAGGUAAUAAGGUUUUUGUUUGUUUUUAUCUUUCACAGCUAGAAAAUUAUGGCAUGCCGUUUAGCAGAACUGAAGAUGGGAAGAUUUAUCAGCGUGCAUUUGGUGGACAGAGCCUCAAGUUUGGAAAGGGCGGGCAGGCCCAUCGGUGCUGCUGUGUGGCUGAUCGGACUGGCCACUCACUAUUGCACACCUUAUAUGGAAGGUCUCUGCGAUAUGAUACCAGCUAUUUUGUGGAGUAUUUUGCCUUGGAUCUCCUGAUGGAGAAUGGGGAGUGCCGUGGUGUCAUCGCACUGUGCAUAGAGGACGGCUCCAUCCAUCGCAUAAGAGCAAAGAACACUGUUGUUGCCACAGGAGGCUACGGGCGCACC